UCUAUGUCGGCGACCGGCGCACGGGUGCGUAACGCGUAUGCAACCUACCCAUUACAGGGGGAGUAACACUGAGAAAUCGGUACUAAUACCCCAUAACAUCCAGGGAGGCAUCUUCUUGGGUUGAAAACUCCGGUGGUAAUGGAUGGGCAUGCGUUGUAUUAGUUAGUUGGUGGGGUAACGGCUCACCAAGACAACGAUACAUAGGGGGACUGAGAGGUUAACCCCCCCACAUUGGUACUGAGACACGGACCAAACUCCUACGGAAGGCAGCAG
rnacentral:rRNA from 1 species